GACGACGGGUAGCCGGCCUGAGAGGGUGACCGGCCACACUGGGACUGAGACACGGCCCAGACUCCUACGGGAGGCAGCAGUGGGGAAUAUUGCACAAUGGGCGAAAGCCUGAUGCAGCAACGCCGCGUGAGGGACGACGGCCUUCGGGUUGUAAACCUCUUUUAGUAGGGAAGAAGCGAAAGUGACGGUACCUGCAGAAAAAGCACCGGCUAACUACGUGCCAGCAGCCGCGGUAAUACGUAGGGUGCAAGCGUUGUCCGGAAUUAUUGGGCGUAAAGAGCUCGUAGGCGGUUUGUCGCGUCUGCUGUGAAAUCCCGAGGCUCAACCUCGGGCCUGCAGUGGGUACGGGCAGACUAGAGUGCGGUAGGGGAGAUUGGAAUUCCUGGUGUAGCGGUGGAAUGCGCAGAUAUCAGGAGGAACACCGAUGGCGAAGGCAGAUCUCUGGGCCGUAACUGACGCUGAGGAGCGAAAGCGUGGGGAGCGAACAGGAUUAGAUACC
rnacentral:rRNA from 1 species